rnacentral:tRNA from 1 species
GCGCGAGUGGCGGAACUGGCAGACGCGCUGGAUUUAGGUUCCAGUGUCUUCGGACGUGAGGGUUCAAGUCCCUUCUCGCGCACCA